rnacentral:rRNA from 1 species
UACGUAGGGUGCAAGCGUUAAUCGGAAUUACUUGGCGUAAAGCGUGCGCAGGCGGUUGUGUAAGACAGAUGUGAAAUCCCCGGGCUCAACCUGGGAACUGCAUUUGUGACUGCACAGCUGGAGUGCGGCAGAGGGGGAUGGAAUUCCGCGUGUAGCAGUGAAAUGCGUAGAUAUGCGGAGGAACACCGAUGGCGAAGGCAAUCCCCUGGGCCUGCACUGACGCUCAUGUACGAAAGCGUGGGGAGCAAACAGG